UCUGUUUCUACAGCAACAAUGAGAGCAGCAGUUUUGGGAUUUUGAAGAAAAUGGGCGGGACAAAGGGUAGAGGACCCUUUAUAAGAUGGGUCCCUCUUUCAGAGCACAGAAGAGAGACCUCAAAAUCAGUCAUCAAAGGAAGACAAGGGGGCUGGGGGAGGACCCCAAAGCCCUGAUUAAAGCAGGAAAACUGAUUCCCCUACCCCAGAGACAAAGUCCUCUGGUGCGAAGCCAGCUGCUUUCCUCUGGACAGAGAAGAACCAGGCUCAGGGGCUGACAGGGAGCAGUGUUCAUCAAGGUGUCCUGACGUCCCACCCUGAUUGCAACAAGGCUCUGGGGACAUCCACAUCUGGCCUUUCCUACAGCACAGAGCUCUGCCUCCUCCCCACCACACAUGCAGCCCUCUUCUGCCCCAGGGCCGGGGCAGCCUCAGUCCUGCUGCCAGAGAAGAGCUCCAUGGGAAGAACCUGCCGCCCUGUGUGGACCCUGCUUGCCCCAGGGCCUGGCAGUGAGAGGUGCUGGGGAGGGAGGGAGGAAGUGAGUCAGCUCCCUGCAGAAAUCUGAGUGGGAGGGAGGAGCCAGCAGAAAUGAGAUCGGGGGCAAAGGGCACAGGAGCCAGAAAGGUCACUAAGAGAGGGAACCAGGCCCCGAAGGUGUUGCGGGACCCACAGAGUACAAGACAGAUACAGGUGAUGAAUUCGGCAGGGCCACCUCCAACCGAGGCUGGGUGGCCCCAGUAGGCCAGAGAACCUGGGUCCAGAGGCCUGGCCCCACCUGAGGAUGGAAUCCGAGGCGGCUCCCCUCCCUGACUCAUGUUCACACCAGAGGUAGCAAGGCCUUGUGGGACAUGGCCAGCCUCAUUCUCUCCUCAGAGAUGGAGUCUCUGGGCUCCAAGGCCUCCCACUCCCUCUCCUGAGCCCUACAGCUCCAGAAGCCCAGGUUCCCCAUGACCUGGCCUAGUAGGGACAUGCUAAGGUCCUACAGACAAGUCACCUAGGCCAGUCAGAGCGGGAAGGUUCCAGGAACCAAAACUGUCUCCCAGAGGGGAUGGGAGCUGAGCCUGGGCCCCAGGAGCAGAGCAACUGGGGCUGCCUUAGCACCCACUCUCUCCUCCCUGGUAGGGACAUGUGGGAGCUGUCCCCAGGCUCCAGCUGGAAUCCAUUGCUGUGACUGGGUAAGAUCCUUGCUGUGAAAAUUCCCAUCCUGCUGACAUUCCAGUAUGAAGGCAGUUCAGGGAGAGCAGCGGAAGGGAAGAGGAAGCCCCACUGGGCCACAUUCCAGCCCCUCAGAGACCUACAGCCAGUGAGACAGGCGCAUUCCUCCAAGGUCUGAGACAGACACUGCGUAGCCCCCAUGUAAUCCUGAAUCUUCUUCUCACCCAAGCCUGGCACCUUCAUGUGGGCUCCUGUGUGGGGGCAGGAGGCAGCCUGUCCCCAGGACCUCCCUUCCCAGGCUCCUGCUCCUGGAUGCCCACAGAGCUGCCUCUCCUCCAGUCCUGUGAGAGAUGCCAGGCCCCAGGCAUGCAAGAAACAGUCCAUGGGUGGAGAUGGGACACGCUAAGGUCCUAGAGACAAGUCACCAAGGUCAGUUAGAGCAGGAGGGGUCCAGGACCCAAAACUGAGCUAAAGUUUUGGUUCUGGUCUGGAAGACCGAACAGAGAGAAUGAGAAACCAGUUCCUGAGUACAGAACCAUCUCUUUCCUUCAACAAAUAUCCCCUGCCCUCAUGCAGUGCUCCAGCACUGGAGAAGGAAUGAGAUAACUCAGUAAUUACCAUCUUGUGAAUGCUAUGAGAAGGCUGGGGUGUUGCCAGGUGGGGACCUGACAUGGUCUGGGAGGAUCAGGGACAAGUGAUAUUCAAACUGAAGCCAAUGUGUAGAAGUGUACAAGGGAGGGCAGGGAAAGGGGCUACAGACAAAAGGAACAGCAGGAGCUCAAGGGUAGACGCCAGUGAGAAGCCUGCAUUGCCCCCACCACUGCUAGGCCCUCUGCCAGGCUGUGCUCCGCCACUGUUUUUCCACAACACACAGAGGAAACAACAGCGUGGCCCUGAGCAACACGGCGAGCCCACUCUUGGUCAGAGGUGACACUGCAGGGAUCCUGUCACCCCAAGUGCUAUGGAGAUCAGCACUAGCAUGCCAGUAUGGGCCAAAAAGAUGUCAGCUUUCGCUGACCCAUCCACAAGACUGGACUUGAAGCCCCUCUGCUGCACUCCCAGCACCAGGACUGGCCCCUGUGGUUGAGCUUCUCAGAGGGUACUGUCAUGGUCUGCUACUGGAACAUCUCUCCCGCUUACUAUGAGCUCCUUGGGGCUGGGAUUAUGUGCUGCUCACCGCUGGAGCCCAGGACCUAGUAUGCAGUAAGUGCUCAACAAAUGCUUCCCUAAUGGAUGGGCAGGUGGAAGGAUGAUGGCAGAAGAAAACGGUGUUCUCCCAGGCCUGCUGGUUGAUUUCUACCAGGCCACAAAUCUACCCUACCACUGUGGCUCACCCCUGCUCCCAGCGGAACCUCAUCUAGCAGCUACCAGGACACAUGAAGGUGUGAACCCAGCAUUCUGGACACACGCCAUGUGAGAGGGAAACCCAAGGGGCUGUGUCUCCCUGGGGCCUUCUAAACAGGCCAUGGAGAGGAGCCGGGGGCCUGGCCCCAUCUGUGUGCAGGAAGAUAACAGAUGGCUAGUCAGCUCCCUCAGAGCUCCCUGGGGACAGGCAAUGUGUGGACACAGUUGAUGGAUGGCCUGAUGGCAGGGUGGCCAGCAAGAGCUGUCCCUGUGGGGCUACAGUCAUCAGGGUAUCCCUCCCAGGAGUCUGGAGGAGGCGGGAAGACUUCUCUUGGCGCAUAACUGGGAUUAGAACUGCUGCCAAGACAGGGAGUAGGAGGAGUAAAAGGAAGAGGAGGAGAUACAGGCUGAGGGUACAGAAGAGGUGCAGCACCCCACGCCACUCCCAGCCCUGUCCCAGGAAGCUGGAAACGCUGGGCUCACCCUGGUCCUCUCUGCUUGUGGUAUGAGUCCCCACCACCUACCUGGGUGAGAAAAGAUAUGGGCUUCUUUCAGCCCUAUGUGUCUCCUUAUCCUGCCACAUGGCUCUAGGAGAUGCAUGGGGAUGGGGUUUGCUACUGUGUCCUCUGGCAGAUGAAACAGGCUGAGGCUCGGGGAAGAAGUCCUCUGGGCACCAGCUGGGCUUACCCCAUAGGAGCUAGAGUGAGCCAGCAUUUCAGGGAUACCAGCUAUAACUUGGAAUCCACCAGGGCCUCCAAAGCUAAACCAUCUACUUCCCCAGGGAUGGGAUAGCAGCAGAUAGUUGGGAAGGGAAAGCUAGGAAAAUCUGAGAUGCCAGGAUGAUCCCUGUGCUAUAAAGAGAAAACCAAACAGCAUCUGGGAUGCCAGGCCCAGGGCCCCACAGAGGCCUUGCUGUGGUUCAGCAGGGAGCUGGCAACAAUCCCCUGGGGGAUUCAUUCUUUAAGAAGAAAAUUCCAUCUGUUAAAAGCAGCGUUAGCCUGGAAGAACGCAGACAGGCAUGGCAACAUGUUAGUCUUUGCUUCUGUUAUUGUUUUUGAGACAGAGUUUAGCUCUUAUUGCCCAGGCUGAAGUGCAAUGGCUUGAUCUCGGCUCACUGCAACUUCCGCCUCCCGGGUUCAAGUGAUU
rnacentral:lncRNA from 1 species